UACGGAGGAUGCGAGCGUUAUCCGGAUUUAUUGGGUUUAAAGGGUGCGUAGGCGGGAUGCCAAGUCAGCGGUAAAAAUGCGGUGCUCAACGCCGUCGAGCCGUUGAAACUGGCGUUCUUGAGUGGGCGAGAAGUACGCGGAAUGCGUGGUGUAGCGGUGAAAUGCAUAGAUAUCACGCAGAACUCCGAUUGCGAAGGCAGCGUACCGGCAUCCAACUGACGCUGAGGCACGAAAGCGUGGGGAUCAAACAGG
rnacentral:rRNA from 1 species